rnacentral:rRNA from 1 species
GACGAACGCUGGCGGCGUGCUUAACACAUGCAAGUCGAACGGAAAGGCCCUUCGGGGUGCCCGAGUGGCGAACGGGUGGGUAACACGUGGGUGAUCUGCCCUGCACUUUGGGAUAAGCCUGGGAAACUGGGUCUAAUACCGAAUAGGACCACGCGCCUCAGGGUUUGGGGCGGCAAGCGUUUGCGGUGUGGGAUGGGCCCGCGGCCUAUCAGCUUGUUGGUGGGGUAAUGGCCUACCAAGGCGACGACGGGUAGCCGGCCUGAGAGGGUGACCGGCCACACUGGGACUGAGCUACGGCCCAGACUCCUCCGGGAGGCGGCAGUGGGGAAUAUUGCACAAUGGGCGCAAGCCUGAUGCAGCGACGCCGCGUGAGGGAUGACGGCCUUCGGGUUGUAAACCUCUUUCAAUAGGGACGAAGCGCAAGUGACGGUACCUAUAGAAGAAGCACCGGCCAACUACGUG